rnacentral:pre_miRNA from 1 species
GAUUUCAAAUGAAAAAGUCAUCAACAACAAAAUUGUAUAACUCAUCAAUAUCUAUAGAUUUUAUUUUGGUCAUUUUUUCAUUCGACAAAGUGAUAGUAACAUUCUUCACAAAAUUUACACAUCUAUCUUAUAAUUUAUGAAAUCAUAUGGGAGAUAUGUAAAAUUUGUGAACAAUGUUAAAAUCACUUUAUCGGAUGAACAAAUGACCAAAAUAAGAAUUGUGUAUCUAGAUGGAUUAUACAACUUUGUUGUUGAUGACUUUUUCAGUUGAAGUU